GGUAAUGUUCAGGUACGGCAGCUAUGCCCUACCCUGAAAGCCUCUUCCAUGCUGUACAUAUUCUUGAAAAUGGGAAUGUUAGUUAAACUUUCCCAGUUUCUUUAGGAAAUUGCAACACACCCUAACCGUACCUCGUAACCCUAAUCCUAUUCCCUAACGCUAACACUAAACUUAAAAAUAACCCUAAACCUAAUCGUAACUCUAUACCUAAACCUAAUCCUAAACCUAACGAUAACACUACUACUAAUUCUAAGCCAAACCCUAACCCUAACCCUAACCCUAACCCUAACCCUAACCCUAACCCUAACCCUAACCCUACCCCUAACCCUAACCCUAACCCUAACCCUAACCCUAACCCUAACCCUAACCCUAACCCUAACCCUAACCCUAACCCUAACCCUAACCCUAACCCAACUCUAAAUCCCUAACUCUAACCCUAGCUCCUAACCCUAACCGUAGCCCAAACCCAACACUAAGCCUAAUCCUAACCCUAAAGCUAACCCUAACCCUUACCAUAACCCUAAGCCUAACCCUAACCCUAAACCUAUCCCUAAACCUAAGCCUAAGCCUAACCCUAAACCUAAGCCUAAACCUAAGCCUAAACCUAAGCCUAACCGUAACCCUAACCUAAGUGUCUCCAGUCCACUCUAUGCUCCGCACUAUUCCUUAGAGUCAGCACAGCAGGUUCCGCCAGUAGGAUAGCACGUAAGGUUGGAAGGCUAGGUAAUGUUCAGGUACGGCAGCUAUGCCCUACCCGGAAAGCCUCUUCCAUUCUGUACAAAUUCUUGAAAACGGGAAUAUUAGUUUAAUUUUCCUAGUUUCUUUAGGAAAUUGCAACACAUCCUAACCGUACCCCUAACCCUAUCCCCUAACGCUAACCCUAGCCUUAAAAUUAACCCUAAACCUAAUCCUAAAUCUAUCCCUAAACCUUAACCUAAACCUAACCCUAGCACUAAUACUAACUCUAACUCAAACCCUAAUCCUAACUCUAACCCUAAUACUAACCCUAAGCCAAAACAAAACUUAAUCCUAAUGCUAAUACUGUCUCUAACCCUCACACUAACCCUAAAUCCCUAACUGUAAACAAAACACCUAACCGUAAAGCUAAAUCUAACCCUAACCCUAAUACUAACCCUAAGUCUAACCCGAACCAAAAUACCUAAACCUAAAAAUAACCCUAAGAGUAGCCCUAGCCCUAAUUUAACCCUAAACCUAAGCCUAACCCCUAACCCUAACCCUAACCCUAACCCUAAGCCUAAGCCUAACCCCUAACCGUAACUUUAACCCUAAUCCUAACCCUAGCCCUAACCCUAACCUUAACGGAGCUAACCCUAACCCUAAACCCUAACCAUAACCCUAAUCCUAACCCCUAACCCUAACCUUUACCCUUAACCCUACCGCUACCAACCCUAAAUCGCUAACCCUAAA
rnacentral:lncRNA from 1 species